rnacentral:rRNA from 1 species
AGAACGAACGCUGGCGGCAUGCCUAAUACAUGCAAGUCGAACGAACACUUCGGUGUUAGUGGCGCACGGGUGCGUAACGCGUGGGAAUCUGCCCUUGGGUUCGGAAUAACAGUUGGAAACGACUGCUAAUACCGGAUGAUAUCGAAAGAUCAAAGAUUUAUCGCCCAGGGAUGAGCCCGCGUAGGAUUAGCUAGUUGGUGAGGUAAAGGCUCACCAAGGCGACGAUCCUUAGCUGGUCUGAGAGGAUGAUCAGCCACACUGGGACUGAGACACGGCCCAGACUCCUACGGGAGCAGCAGUAGGGAAUAUGGACAAUGGGCGCAAGCCUGAUCCGAGCAAUGCCGCGUGAGUGAUGAAGCUUAGGGUGUAAAGUCUCUUUAACCGAGAUGAAUAAUAGUACAGUAUACGGGAAGAAAUAACG